UAAUUUAGAGCAAAAGCACACUAUAGACAAAAUUAUUUGAUGUUUUUAACCUUAUAUGGUGUACUUUAACUUGGCCUAAGUUCAAUUUAAAUUUCUAGUCUUUGAGCUGUUAAUUUAUUACAUUAAGUGUACAUAUUAGUACCUUUUAGCUUUUGUACCUACACAGGAAAAAUGAGAGAGUACUUUUUUCGGAGUUACCGUCAGUAAUUUUUAUUUAAGUAGGUUUAAAAACGUAGAGGAAAUAUGUUGGAGUAAACCAGCGAGACCACGCCCACUCUACUUUCUUAAGUUUCGUUUCUUCCGCCAUUUUGUUAUCCCGCAGCGGACGGAGGAAGAGAGAGGCUGUGACUGAGGAAAGAUGCAAGCUGUGCUUGAACAUGUCGAACGCCAAAAAAAAAAAAUGUUUUGAAAUUCAGCUGACCUUCAAAUCCUUUUGGGAAUGCGCUGCCAAAAAGUUCAACAUCCC